rnacentral:sRNA from 1 species
AGAAUUCGAGGGGGUGGGGCUUUGCCAGGACAGAGGACCGCCUCGCUGGCCUACUGUCUCCGCCCCCACGGCGCCGGAAUCCCAGCUCCACUUACCAGGCCGCGGCUACCCCGUCGCCCCCGCCACUCCCGCCACCCCGCUCUCCCAGGCUCUUCAGGAUCCAAGUUUGUAGGCCCUUUAAGGGGUCUAGUUGCCCUUUGCGGGGCCCUGGGACUUUGGUCCCAGACAGGGGGGAUCCGGAUGGCUUCCGUGCGGAUCCGAGAGGCCAAGGAGGGAGACUGUGGGGAUAUCCUGAGGUUGAUUCGGGUGAAGACUGUGGGCCGGAACUAGCCGAGUUCGAAAAACUCUCGGAUCAGGUGAAGAUCAGUGAGGAAGCCCUGAGAGCAGAUGGCUUUGGAGAGAAUCCUUUCUAUCACUGUUUGGUAGCAGAGAUUCUUCCAGCGCCCGGGGAGCUACUGGGUCAAGGGAUUGGUUCCAAAAUAAUCAAAAAGGUGGCUGAGGUGGCCUUGGAUAAGGGCUGCUCCCAAUUCCGCCUGGCCGUCCUGGACUGGAACCAGAGGGCUAUGGACUUGUACAAGGCC